GGACCCGCACAAGCGGUGGAGCAUGUGGUUUAAUUCGAUGCAACGCGAAAACCUUACUACUCUUGACAUACUUGGAAGCUCUUGUAAUGAGAGUGUGCCUUUUGGAACCAAGAUACAGGUGCUGCAUGGCUGUCGUCAGCUCGUGUCGUGAGAUGUUCCGUUAAGUCGGAUAACGAGCGCAACCCUUACCCUUAUUUGCCAGCGAUUCGGUCGGGAACUCUAAGGAGACUGCCGGUGAUAAACCGGAGGAAGGUGAGGACGAUGUCAAGUCAUCAUGGCCCUUACGAGUAGGGCUACACACGUGCUACAAUGGGGAAUACAGACGGACGCUAAGCCGCGAGGUGGUGCU
rnacentral:rRNA from 1 species